CAGUAGCCACGGUAAUACGAACCGUCCGAACGUUAUUCGGAAUUACUGGGCUUAAAGCGUGUGUAGGCGGAUUCGCACGUCGGGAGCUGAAAUCCCCUGGCUUAACCAGGGAAGUGGCACCGAUACGGCGAGUCUGGAGGGAGGUAGGGGGGUCUGGAACUUCCGGUGGAGCGGUGAAAUGCGUUGAGAUCGGAAGGAACGCCCGUGGCGAAAGCGAGGCCCUGGACCUUUUCUGACGCUGAGACGCGAAAGCCAGGGGAGCGAACGGGAUUAGAUACCCGCGUAGUCCCUGUCUCUUAUA
rnacentral:rRNA from 1 species